rnacentral:misc_RNA from 1 species
GAUGAAGAACGCAGCGAAAUGCGAUAAGUAAUGUGAAUUGCAGAAUUCAGUGAAUCAUCGAAUCUUUGAACGCACAUUGCGCCCCUUGGUAUUCCGAGGGGCAUGCCUGUUCGAGCGUCAUUAUAACCCCUCAAGCUCAGCUUGGUGUUGGGGCCUGCUGCACUUGCAGCCCUUAAAAUCAGUGGCGGCGCCAUCUGGCUCUAAGCGUAGUAAUUCUUCUCGCUAUGGAGUCCUGGUGGAUGCUUGCCAUCAACCCCCAAUUUUUCUAUGGUUGACCUCGGAUCAGGUAGGGAUACCCGCUGAACUUAAGCAUAUCAAUAAGCGGAGGA